rnacentral:misc_RNA from 1 species
GACCAUUCUUCGCCACAAACUGUGAAGUCUUGUCAACAAUACUCCUAAUAUCAGGAGGGGGAUAAAUGAUACCAAUAGUUCUCGUAUGUGUUGCAACAGAUGCUGGAACCUUGUCCUUAUUGUUUUCCUCUUCAUUCUCUUCCAUCUUAACAUCAUUUGGUUCCUCUACCACCUGAGCUAGAGGUGUUGGUCCCAGAUUCCCAU